rnacentral:rRNA from 1 species
UACGUAGGGUGCAAGCGUUAUCCGGAAUUAUUGGGCGUAAAGAGCUCGUAGGCGGCUUGUCGCGUCGAAUGUGAAAUCCUGCGGCUCAACUGCAGGCUUGCAUUCGAUACGGGCAGGCUCGAGUUCGGUAGGGGAGACUGGAAUUCCUGGUGUAGCGGUGAAAUGCGCAGAUAUCAGGAGGAACACCGGUGGCGAAGGCGGGUCUCUGGGCCGAUACUGACGCUGAGGAGCGAAAGCGUGGGGAGCGAACAGG